CAACCUCCCGUUUCAAUCGACUUCUUCGAAGACGUUUUGUACUUUUGACGGACAGCUUCAUGGCUAGAAUUACGGUAAAACGGAUACUGGUUUACUGUUGAGCUAGCACUGUAGAGAAUAUCACCACAUGUACAAGGGAUUGCUGACUUGGACCAUGAAGGGUGCUCCCAGCAAUGGUUAUUUACUGGAUAAAGAGCGCAGCUAGCAUGGACAACAGCUUCCUUCAUGAGAAGAUGUUUUAAGCAAGCUCAACUUGGAUUGUCAUAUUUGGGACAGCUUUGCAUCAGUCCUUCCUUUUCUAAGGCUAUUUGCUGGUUGAAGAGCAGAAUCUACCAUGGACAAAAGCGUCCUUCAUGAGAAGAUGUUUUUAUCAAGCUCAACUUAGACAUGUUGGACUGUCAUGUUUGGGACAGCUUUGCAUCACUCCUUCCUCUUCUAAGGUUAUUCACUGGUUGAAGAACAGUAUCUAUCUGAUCAUGGACAAAAACUUUCUUCAUGAGAAGAUGUUUUUAUCAAGCUCAACUUGGAUUGUCAUAGUUGGGACAGCUUUGUAUCACUCCUUCCUAUUUUAAGGACCUUGAGUACAAUCUUCUUGAGCCAUCAUGGAGCUGACGUUACAGAACUGAGAAGACGCCGCUCAUGUUUUCAGUCUGAAGGGCAAUCUCUGCAGUAAGGGCAACCAAGUUGGACUGUUAUGCAAGAAAAAUUGGCACAAGGACCUUGGGUACAACCUUCUUCAGCCAUCAUGGAGCUGACGUUAGAGAAUGUGAAGACCAAGGAUCAAGGCAGUCAUCUUGAACAGAUUCUUCUGCUUUCACUUUAUCAUGGACAAAUUCUUCAGUCAAACUACUACUUCCUUCCUUAUGGACCUUGGGUACAAUCUUCAUCAGCCAUCAUGGAGCUGACGUUAGAGAAUGAGAAGACCAAGGAUCAAGGCAGUCAUCUUGAACAGAUUGUGCUUAUUUAAAGACUGCUUUCACUUUAUUAUGGACAAAUUCUUAACUUCAAACUACAACUUCCCUCCGCAUGGUAAUCUUCAUCUUGCCUUCAAAUCUCAUAACUUCUCUCCAUACGUCUAAAUCACUUCGCUCCAUACGUCUAACUAUACCACUUCUCUCGCCUUACGUCUAACUACCACUUCUGUCCAUACGUCUCAUUCACUUCUCUUCGUACGUCUACUACCAGGUCUAUACUAUACAUCUAACUAGCACUUCCCACCAUACGUAAAUUCUUAACUUCAAACUACAACUUCCCUCCGCAUGGUAAUCUUCAUCUUGCCUUCAAAUCUCAUAACUUCUCUCCAUACGUCUAAAUCACUUCGCUCCAUACGUCUAACUAUACCACUUCUCUCACCUUACGUCUAACUACCACUUCUGUCCAUACGUCUCAUUCACUUCUCUUCGUACGUCUACUACCAGGUCUCUACUAUACAUCUAACUAGCACUUCCCACCAUACGUCUAACCUAACUUCUCUCCACAUGUCUAACAGCUUUCUCUCCAUACCUCUAACAACUUCCCUGCAUACAUCUAACAACUUCCCUCUAUACGUCUAAUUCACUUUUCUCCAUACGUCUAACAACUUCUCUACAUGCGUCUAACAAAUUCUCUCCAUACGUCUAAUUCACUUUUUCUUCAAACGUCUACUACCACUUCUCUCUAAACGUCUAACUACAACUUCCGUUCAUACUUCUAACAACUUCCCUCCAUACAUCUAACAACUUCCCUCAAUAAGUCUUAAAACUUCUCUCCAUACUUCUAAACAACUUCUCUCUAUACGUCUAAUUCACUUUUCUUCAUACGUCUACUACCACUUCUCUCUCCACGUCUAAGUACAACUUCCCUUCUUACGUCUAACAACUUCUCUUUAAACGUCUUACUACAACUACUCUCCAUACGUCUAACAACUUCUCUCCUUACGUCUAACAACUUCUCUCCAUACGUCUAACUACAACUUUUCUCCAUACGUCUAACAACUUCUCUCAAUACGUCUAAGAACUUCCCUCCAUACGUCUAACAACUUCUCUCCAUACGUCUAACUACAACUUCCCUGCAUACGUCUAACAACUUCUCUCAAUAUGUCUAAAUGCAACUUCCCUUCAUACGUCUAACAACUUCUCUCCAUACAUCUAACUACAACUUCCCUUCAUACGUCUAACAACUUCUCUCCAUACGUCUAACAACAACUUCCCUGCAUACGCCUAACAACUUCUCUCUAAUUUUACAUUAAUGUUGCAGUUAAUUUUUAAAUUUAAACUUAAAUUUUAACAGUUGUAGUAAAGUGCAUUUUAUUGUGUUGUAUUUGAGAGUAAGAAAUAAAGAAAUAAA